rnacentral:rRNA from 1 species
AACGAACGCUGGCGGCGCGCCUAAUACAUGCAAGUCGAGCGAGAAGACGUAGCAAUACGUUUGUAAAGCGGGCGAACGGGUGAGGAAUACAUGGGGUAACCUACCCUCGAGUGGGGAAUAACUAGCCGAAAGGUUAGCCUAAUACCGCGGUACGCUCCUUGGACUUCGGUUCAGGGAGGAAAGCGAUACCGCGGGUAUCGCGCUCUUGGAUGGGCUCGA